rnacentral:rRNA from 1 species
CUACGGGUCGCACCAGUGGGGAAUAUUGCACAAUGGAGGAAACUCUGAUGCAGCAACGCCGCGUGGAGGACGACACUUUUCGGAGCGUAAACUCCUUUUAUAUAGGAAGAAGAUGACGGUACUAUAUGAAUAAGCGCCGGCUAACUCCGUGCCAGCAGCCGCGGUAAUACGGAGGGCGCAAGCGCUACUCGGAAUCACUGGGCGUAAAGAGCGUGUAGGCGGAUUAAAAAGUCAGAAGUGAAAUCCUAUAGCUUAACUAUAGAACUGCUUCUGAAACUCUUAAUCUAGAAUAUGGGAGAGGUAGAUGGAAUUUCUGGUGUAGGGGUAAAAUCCGUAGAGAUCAGAAGGAAUACCGAUUGCGAAGGCGAUCUACUAGAACAUUAUUGACGCUGAGACGCGAAAGCGUGGGGAGCAAACAGGAUUAGAUACCCGCGUAGUC